CAGUGAUUAAGCAGAAAAGCUGACCUAAAAGAGUAACUCUGAAACCAUCUAGCAGGUAUUAUUCUUGCUCUUCAAACAAUGAAGAAAUGAGCAUGGUAAGAGAAACAGGAAAGAGACGGGCACCGGCAACUCACAGACAGUUCGUGAAGGAGCAAGUAUCUUCAAAGUAAGGUAUUUUGGGGAGCCAGGGGAUGGUUCAGUAGGUAAAGACAUGUGCCACACAAGCAUCAAGGCCUGAAUUCAAAUGUCCAGGGGCUAUGUAAGAGCUGGACGUGUGGCCGGAACACCUGUAAUUCCAGCAGUCCCUCUGGGGAAAUGGAGAAUGCCCUGAUGCUGUGGGCCAGCAAAACUGGUGUGAGCAGGGGGAAAUGAGAUUCUGUGUCUCAAACAAGGUAGGGGACAAGGACUGACAGCCAUGGCCGGCCUCUGAUCACCACACACGUGCUGUGUACAUACAUAGGAUAUAUUUUCAGCCAUUAGAUGGGUAUUGAGGACAGCAGAGUUUGAAGUAAGGGUCCUGAGGGUGUGGGGAGGGAGGAGGGUACAAUACUUUUCCCAUUGUGACCAAUGGGAAGAAGCAAUGUAAGCAAAUGGGGCUUUAUUUUGGCUCACAGUUUGGUAGGGGAAGACAUGGUGGCAAAGAACAAGCAAAAAGGGGGACUGGGCUAUAUAGGCACUCAGGCCUUGGGGCUGCGGAGAUGGUUCAGGGGUUAAGAGUGCCUACUGGAAACUGGGUGUGGUGGUGCAUGCCUUUAAUUGUAGUGGUUUGGAGAAGCAGGAAGAUCUCUCUGAGUUUUAGGUCAGUCUGUGAAUAUACAGACUGGUCAAAUUUUGUGUGUGUGUGUGUGUGUGUGUGUGUAAGAGAGAGAGAGAGAGAGAGAGAGAGAGAGAGAGAGAGAGAGAGUUUGCUUUUCCAGGGGACAAAAUUUUGAGUCCAGGCAGCUCACAACUUCCUUUAAGGGUUAUAGGGUAUCUGGAACCUCUGUCCUCUGUCUGUGCCUGUAACUGCAUAUGUGUAUGUGUGUGUGCCACAUAGACAGACACACAUUAAUAAAUUGUAAAACAGUAACAAAUCAAGAACAAUUCAAGGCUUGCCCCCAGUGACCAACUCCCUCAGGGCUCAACCCCCUAAUGGUUCCCCAGCAAUCCCACCAGCUGGGGACCAAGUGUUUAAGUAUAUGUGCUGUAGGGCAUGUUUCACAUUCAAUCCACUUUGAUUUUCCUGAAAGGCAACUGGUAACAUCUAAAAACCUAUUAUGAGCCCAUCCAUCUUUUGAUUUAAUAGUCCUGCAUGUUGGAAUCUGUACUGUUGAGAGCCUAUGAAUGAGGCUACUUGCCAGCUCUAACAAAAACAACAACUACUACUACCACCACCCAAUAGCAGGGAUUGUGGCUGGUGAAAUGUUGGCUUUGUGGUUAAAGGCUCUUCUUGCCACCAAGCUUGACUACUUGAGUGCUAUCUCUGGGAUCCAAAUGGUAGAAGAAGAGAGAUGCUGAACGUUGUCCUCUAAGAUGCCCCCCACCCUCCAGCACUGUAAUAAAACAAACAAACAAACAAACAAGCAAACACCCAAGUAACAGGGUGAGGCCUAGAAAGAUGGCUCAGCAGUUAGGAGCAUUCGUUCUUUCAAAGGACCUAGGUUCAAUUCCCAGUACCCCUACGGUGACUCACAACCAUCAAAUAACUCCAGUUCCAGGAGAUUCAACACUUUAUUCUGACCUACUUAAGUAAUGGACAUACAUACAGGCAAAAUCAUUCAUAUACAUACAAUAAAAUAAAUCUUUAAAAGUU
rnacentral:lncRNA from 1 species